GAUAAAGUGGCUGAGUUUAGGCGGUAGAUUGUAAAUUUACUAACAAGUUUAUAACUUCUUUAUUA
rnacentral:tRNA from 1 species